rnacentral:rRNA from 1 species
UACAGGGGGUGCAAGCGUUAUUCGGAAUUAUUGGGCGUAAAGCGCGUGUAGGCGGACCGUUAAGUCUGGUGUGAAAGCCCUCGGCUCAACUGAGGAAGUGCAUUGGAUACUGGCGGCCUUGAGUCCUGGAGAGGGUAGCGGAAUUCCCAGUGUAGAGGUGAAAUUCGUAGAUAUUGGGAGGAACACCGGUGGCGAAGGCGGCUACCUGGACAGUGACUGACGCUGAGACGCGAAAGCAUGGGUAGCAAACAGG